rnacentral:rRNA from 1 species
UACGGAGGGUGCGAGCGUUGUCCGGAAUCACUGGGCGUAAAGGGCGCGUAGGUGGCCUGUGGAAGUCUGCGGUGAAAGCCCGGCGCUCAACGCCGGGUCGGCCGUGGAUACUCUCGGGCUUGAGCUUACUAGAGGCAGAUGGAAUUCCACGUGUAGCAGUGAAAUGCGUAGAGAUGUGGAGGAAUACCGAUGGCGAAGGCAGCCUCCUGGGCCAACACUGACGCUCAUGCACGAAAGCGUGGGGAGCAAACAGG